rnacentral:rRNA from 1 species
GAUGAACGCUGGCGGCGUGCCUAAUACAUGCAAGUCGAGCGAACGGACGAGCAGCUUGCUUCUCUGAUGUUAGCGGCGGACGGGUGAGUAACAAGUGGAUACCCUACCUAUAAGACUGGGAUAACUUCGGGACACCGGCGCUAAUACCGGAUAAUAUUUUGAAACGCAUGGUUCAAAAGUGAAAGACGGUCUUGCUGUCACUUAUAGAUGGAUCCGCGCUGCAUUAGCUAGGUGGUAAGGUACCGGCUUACCAAGGCUACGAUGGAUAGCGGACAUGAGAGGGAGAUCGGCCACACGGGAACUGAGGCACGAUCCAGACACCGGCGGGAGGCAGCAGGAGGGAAUCCUCCGCGAGGGGGGAAAGCCGGACGUAGCAACGCCGCGGGAGUGAUGAAGGUCUUCGGAUGGGAAAACGCUGUUAUUAGGGAAGGAGAAAUGUGUAAGUGACUGGGCACAUCUUGACGGUACCUAAACAGAAAGCCACGGCUAACUACGUG